GGACCUAUAGUAUAAUGGAUAGUACAACCGGCUUCGGACCGGUUAAUCAGGGUUCAAAUCCCUGUGGGUUCA
rnacentral:tRNA from 1 species